rnacentral:rRNA from 1 species
AGAGUUUGAUCCUGGCUCAGGAGGAACGCUGGCGGCGUGCCUAAUACAUGCAAGUCGAACGAGAGCGACCGGUGCUUGCACUGGUCAAUCUAGUGGCGAACGGGUGAGUAACACGUGGGUAACCUGCCCAUCAGAGGGGGAUAACAUUCGGAAACGGAUGCUAAAACCGCAUAGGUCUUCGAACCGCAUGGUUUGAAGAGGAAAAGAGGCGCAAGCUUCUGCUGAUGGAUGGACCCGCGGUGCAUUAGCUAGUUGGUGAGGUAACGGCUCACCAAGGCCGUGAUGCAUAGCCGACCUGAGAGGGUGAUCGGCCACAUUGGGACUGAGACACGGCCCAAACUCCUACGGGAGGCAGCAGUAGGGAAUCUUCCGCAAUGGACGCAAGUCUGACGGAGCAACGCCGCGUGAGUGAAGAAGGUUUUCGGAUCGUAAAACUCUGUUGUUAGAGAAGAACAAGUGCUAGAGUAACUGUUAGCGCCUUGACGGUAUCUAACCAGAAAGCCACGGCUAACUACGUGCCAGCAGCCGCGGUAAUACGUAGGUGGCAAGCGUUGUCCGGAUUUAUUGGGCGUAAAGCGAGCGCAGGCGGUUCCUUAAGUCUGAUGUGAAAGCCCCCGGCUCAACCGGGGAGGGUCAUUGGAAACUGGGGAACUUGAGUGCAGAAGAGGAGAGUGGAAUUCCAUGUGUAGCGGUGAAAUGCGUAGAUAUAUGGAGGAACACCAGUGGCGAAGGCGACUCUCUGGUCUGUAACUGACGCUGAGGCUCGAAAGCGUGGGUAGCAAACAGGAUUAGAUACCCUGGUAGUCCACGCCGUAAAC